UGGGUAACCUGCCUCAAAGAGGGGAAUAGCCUCCCGAAAGGGAGAUUAAUACCGCAUAAUAUGUUUAAGUCGCAUGACUUUAACAUCAAAGGAUUUUUCUUUUAAGAAAUUCCACUUUGAGAUGGACCCCGCGGCGCAUUAGCUAGUUGGUGAGGUAACGGCUCACCAAGGCAACGAUGCGUAGCCGACAUGAGGAGGGGUGACGUCCGGGACCCAACUAGUUACGGAACUGAACGACCGACCGGCCCAGACCUCGUACGGGA
rnacentral:rRNA from 1 species